GACAUCUUGCGCCAUAUAUCUGU
rnacentral:siRNA from 1 species